UGAGGAUUUACAUGCAAUCAGACCGACAUUGUGAUACUGUGUCUGAAUCAAUGAUGGUUUUGAGGAUUUACAUGCAAUGCAGACCGACAUUGUGAUACCGUGUCUGAAUCAAUGAUGGUUUUGAGGAUUUACAUGCAAUCCAGACCAAUAUUGGGACUCUGUGUUUGGAUCAGUGAUUCUCAGGCUUCAGUGAACAAAGCACAGGAAUCAUAAUUUUACUUUCUGACUUUCAAAAGACUUGUCCCACCUGAUGAAAAUAUACCUCCUGACUGCCCAGUUACAUUUAGCCAUUGCCUUAGAACCUAUGUUAGUUUCAUGAUCUGCCUGAUAUGUGUAACUGAUGUCAGUGAUGGGUAAAACAUAAAUAGGUAGUAGUGUACAUGAGGCAUGUGUAAUGUCAGUGAUAAAUUAUGUUGUAUAUUUACCCCUUCUACUGCCAUCAAGUGUUUUUGCUGCUUUGAGUAGGCACUGUUGAAGUCAUAGUCAAGUUGUAGAUAUAUUGUCCAUCUUGUAACACUAUGUUUAUGUGGUCAUGCUUUUUACAUGCUGCCAGUGGACUAAAUGAAGGAACUGAUCCCCAUUACCAAGCACCUGAUAAUGGUGGAAUAGAAAACCGUGUCUGCUCGAUAAUGAAGCAUACAACUUGAUGGAGAGCAACUUCUUUUUUAUUGCAUAGAGCAACGUUUCAUGUAGAUUCUUACACCAUUAUCAACUAUCAAGGUAAUCUUAGCUUGAUAAUUCAGUAAGAAUCUGCCGUGAAACAUUGUUGAUGCAAUAAAGAAGAAGUUAUCCAUUAAGUGAUAUAGUUCAUUAUUGACCCAACUUCUAGAAUUCUGAUCAAGCAACUUAUGUCCUCCCACAAGCCAUUGAUGUGUGAGUUGUUGUUCAUUGUCUGUUCCUUUUUCCAAGGGUUCUAAGAUUAGAAGGAUUACAGACACCAAACCGACACAAAAUGAAUGAUGUGAAGCACAGUUCAUUUUGUUCUAGGUGUAGCCAGCCAGUGGACAGUGCAUCAGCUCAUCAGUGCUGGCUACUGUUCUGUAAGCACUGGACAAUGUAUUCAACACAAUACUGCAGUUGUAGUUAGCUAAUGUCCAUCAUUCUGGUCUGUAUGUAGUCUUCGUAUGUCUGUAGGAUGUGCGAGCUUGGUCCGGCCACAUCUUCACAUGGAGAAAGCAUAUCACUGCUGGAUACAAGCCUUAAUGUCAUUCUGAUACACAUACACUAACUGGUCCUCUCACUGAAGGGAACAUCAUUGCCCGACUUAUUUCUCUAUCGGUGUAAGAAAAUGAAAUAUGAUACUCUUAUCCUGCUUUUUGAAACUUUCAUGCAUGCAGUAUAUCAGCAUUCAAGACUUACAUGUUCGGAUUGUAUUGGAAGAACAGAAAUAUGGCAUAUCUUUUCUGCUGAGUUUUACUCAUCUGCAAACAGCAAUACUACUGUUGAAAGUCAAGAUACAAGUAUGGGCAUUAAGGUUACCUUUCUACUAAGACUUUACAGAACAGUGUGCCAUUGUACAAAACAACCUUAGCGCUAAGACUUCCUUAAGUCUAUGUUAAGGUAUGGGAGUUACGGUCACCUUAGCGCUAAGAUUGCCUUAAGUCUAUGUUAAGGUAUGGGAGUUACGGUCACCUUAGCGCUAAGAUUGCUUUGUCCAAUGGCACCAAGUGCCCAAGACAUUUCACACAUUUUAUUUAUGUAAGUCAUAAAAUACACAGAAUAUAACAUUGAUGAACAUUUGGCUAGAUGAGUGGCUGGCGGAAGAAGAAUGUCCAGCCCCCAGUUGUCUGGACACUAUAAGCCUGCAUUACAGCAUCAUGCCCUCUGUCUAUCUGUGGCUGGUCAUAGUCUGUGUGUGUAUAUUGAUGUAUGGUACUUCUUGAUAUUAUAUGUCGUGUCCGUACACCUUUGUCACAUUUGUUGUAGAUAACAUUUUGAACAUUUUCUCCUUCUGCAGGGGUGUGUUAGGUGUUAUUAUACUGAGGGAAACAACUAGGGGAACACCACUUCAUUCUCAGAUUUCCUCACGCAGCGCUAUUGAAAGCUGGUGAUGAAAACUGGAAAAUAUUUAAGGAACACUUGAAUUUUCCUGUGUUCCUUUAUUUGUUUCUCUCAGUAUACUUAGUAUUAUGUUUUGAGAGGGUUCACUUUUAAUAAAGUCGUGUAGAAUGGGGAAUAUCAAUGGCAAGAGCGUGUGCUAGUGCCAUGGUAGGUACAGAUAUUGUCACUAUGAUGGCACACUGCUAUGUCCUUUAGGCUUGCCAAAAACCUGUUUUGGUGUGUUAGAAUCCUGUAUCACCCUUAUCAUGUCUGUCAUACCCGUGCUCAGUGGUAUCACAGAAGUGGUGAACUACAUAUCCCUUCAGCUUGUCCUCUACACGAUGAUAUUACUCAAUACAGUUUCAAGGCACAGUUAAGGCAAACUCGCUAUUCAGUGUAAAAAUUGGGUUGAAAGAACAUGUUUUCUGUGAAGUGUCUGCCAUUGUAUUUUGUAUGAGACAGAUGACAAAAAACCUGUUUGAUAACACAAAGAAACCCUCUUGCAGGUGGGCACCACAGUCUUUAGAAUAUUACAUGCAUAAUGAGCAUCUUUCCAGUUUAAGUGUAUCAUUUUAGUUAUGUACUAGAAGAAUAGAAAAUAUCAUGUUGUAUUGACACCAUUGUUUUCUUGGUGAUUUAUGUCCGCUUUCUUGAUGUAAUGUUUCUAUGUGAUAGUUCUUGAGUAAGGAGGAGGUCCACAGUGGUAAUGAAAUGUCGAGUAUUUGGAAUUUAGGAUGUGUCUGUGAGAUAUCCCUUGGUAAUAAAUAUGUUUUGCUCUAAAUCAAAAUGUCAACAUUUUCUCAGGUUAUACACUUUGUCUAUCCUUUUAAACUUAGGUAAAGAUCUUACAGAGUACAAAAACAUAUCUCCUAUGUAUUCUAAGUAGCGCUGCAUAAGACCUGUCCCUUGUGUCAUCUAAUGUGCAUACCCCCUUGUAAUACAAACCAAUAAUAGCGAUUUGAAACCAUGAUCGUUUGUUAAACAACUUUUAUUCUAAGUUGAAUAAAAUUCUGAGAUUUUAAUGUUCAACUGGCAAGGUAAAAUUAUGAGGGUUCGCAAUCUUAAUUUCGCUUUAAUCGAUUUACUUUUUUAUUUAGAGUGAAAUUCAUCGGUACAUUUUGACUGCAAACAGACUAUAAGAGGAAUGGUAACUUAUGAUGUAUGGUCCAACUUAUCCCUUAUGAUCAAUCAUAAUUCCGAGUCCUCUGAGGCAUGUUAUUGUUAGGCCCUAUGUAAGGAGUUGUACUUCCUGGCGGUAUUUUUAGACUCUGUAUUAUAAUAAAGCUUUCCAUGUUCAAACAGUUUCUGUAGAAGCAGAGUUUGAGUGACUGUGUGUUGAGAACAGGGCAAGUAUAGGCACUCAACAUAUGGCAGUAGCUAUAGAACAGGUGAUGAUUUAGUAUACUAUCUAGCUUUACAUUGCUCUGAUAACUUAGGAUGAACACAUCUACAGUUACUGGCAAUGUUUGACUGAUCAGAUGCAAAACUGCUGUUAAAGUAAUUUAUUGCGAAUAAGAACUAUGGCCUUCUUGUCAUGAACCUAGUGUUAAAAAGUAAAGAUUUAACUGGCCACUAAAUACUAUGCAGCAAUAUUAUGUACUGUAAGAAGAUAUGUUGGAAAUACCAGUUGUAACUGCUGGUAAGAUUGAUUUUCUCAUAAAACUGCAAGCUAUAUUUUGUCUUUCAGAAAUGAACAUAUUUUUUAUCAAAACAAUAUUUGCAGUGUUUCAGUUUUUUCAAUCUUCCAAAUUUUUAUCAAGACUCAUCUGUACAAGAAGAAAAUAUGUGAGUAAAAAUAAAAUGAUGUAAUAGGAGAGCCAAUGUUUUGAUUUAUAGAUGGUGUUUUAGUGACCAACUGUACUUGCAGUUUGUUUGCCCGAAACAGGAGUAGAUAACUCACAAGCAAUUUGUAACUUGUUCUGUUUUUAUUUGUAAACUGAAUAUUAUAUGUCAUUUUAGAUUAUAUAUUUUUCUGUUCUGAGAUAUUUUUAUCGAAAAAGCUUUUUUUGCCAUGUGAAGAGAAAAUAUCUGAAAUAAAUCUUUUUGAACAUUUA